CAGUAGCCGCGGUAAUACGAAGGGGGCUAGCGUUGUUCGGAAUUACUGGGCGUAAAGGGCGCGUAGGCGGCCAUUCAAGUUAGAUGUGAAAGCCCUGGGCUCAACCUAGGAAUUGCAUUUGAUACUGUUUGGCUUGAGUUCGGGAGAGGUGAGUGGAAUUCCCAGUGUAGAGGUGAAAUUCGUAGAUAUUGGGAAGAACACCGGUGGCGAAGGCGGCGACCUGGUCCUUGACUGACGCUGAGGCGCGAAAGCGUGGGGAGCAAACAGGAUUAGAUACCCCUGUAGUCCCUGUCUCUUAUAC
rnacentral:rRNA from 1 species